GUCCGUUCUAUGAGGAAAUCACAACAGCAAAAAGACAACUGUCUUCAACCGGCCUAUGAAAAAGUGUUUGUCCGCCAUCUUGUUUCAUUGGACGAGUCGUAAGGAGGAGCAACGUCCUUUAAAGGUGGAGAAGACAGAUGUUUGGGAUGAGAUGGAAGCAGAAGGUUCACUGUUGUGAUCCUUAAGAUGAACAGAGAAGGGGGGGCAGCAGAAGAAGGAGUUAUAAGAAAUUUCCAUCAUUAUUUUGGAUAGACACUCAGUAAGGUAUUUGUUGUCUUGCAA